rnacentral:tRNA from 1 species
UCGGGGUUCGACUAGUGGUUAGGUCACAGCUCUUUCACAGCUGUAGCGCGGGUUCAAAUCCCGUACCCCGAA